GACGAACGCUGGCGGCGUGCCUAAUACAUGCAAGUAGAACGCAGUUGCGAACGGGUGAGUAACGCGUAGGUAACUGCCUCAUAGCGGGGGAUAACUAUUGGAAACGAUAGCUAAUACCGCAUAUUGUUAGAUGUACCUGCGUUGUAUUACCUAGUUGGUGAGGUAAAGGCUCACCAAGCCGACGAUACAUAGCCGACCUGAGGGUGAUCGGCCACACUGGGACUGUGGCACGGCCCAGACUCCUACGGGAGGCAGCAGUAGGGACUCUUCGGCAAUGGACGGAAGUCUGACCGAGCAACGCCGCGUGAGUGAAGAAGGUUUUCGGAUCGUACAGCUCUGUUGUUAGAGAAGCGGUAACUAGCCAGAAAGGGACGGCUAACUACGUGCCAGCAGCCGCGGUAAUUC
rnacentral:rRNA from 1 species